rnacentral:rRNA from 1 species
GAUGAACGCUGGCGGCGUGCCUAAUACAUGCAAGUCGAGCGAACAGACGAGGAGCUUGCUCCUUCGACGUUAGCGGCGGACGGGUGAGUAACACGUAGGUAACCUACCUAUAAGACUGGGAUAACUUCGGGAAACCGGAGCUAAUACCGGAUAAUAUUUCGAACCGCAUGGUUCGAUAGUGAAAGAUGGCUUUGCUAUCACUUAUAGAUGGACCUGCGCCGUAUUAGCUAGUUGGUAAGGUAACGGCUUACCAAGGCAACGAUACGUAGCCGACCUGAGAGGGUGAUCGGCCACACUGGAACUGAGACACGGUCCAGACUCCUACGGGAGGCAGCAGUAGGGAAUCUUACGCAAUGGGCGAAAGCCUGACGGAGCAACGCCGCGUGAGUGAUGAAGGUCUUCGGAUCGUAAAACUCUGUUAUUAGGGAAGAACAAACGUGUAAGUAACUGUGCACGUCUUGACGGUACCUAAUCAGAAAGCCACGGCUAACUACGUG